rnacentral:misc_RNA from 1 species
UAGUGAGAUGGCACCCAGGGACAU